rnacentral:rRNA from 1 species
AUUGAACGCUGGCGGCAGGCUUAACACAUGCAAGUCGAACGAUGAAGAUAUAGCUUGCUAUAUCGGAUUAGUGGCGGACGGGUGAGUAACACUUAGGAAUCUACCUUUUAGCGGGGGAUAGCUCGGGGAAACUCGAAUUAAUACCGCAUAAUUUCUACGGAAUAAAGAGGGCUUUUAGCUCUCACUAUUAGAUGAGCCUAAGCAGGAUUAGCCAGAUGGUGGGGUAACGGCCUACCAUAGCGACGAUCCUUAGCUGGUCUGAGAGGAUGAUCAGCCACACUGGGACUGAGACACGGCCCAGACUCCUACGGGAGGCAGCAGUGGGGAAUAUUGGACAAUGGGGGGAACCCUGAUCCAGCCAUGCCGCGUGUGUGAAGAAGGCCUUUUGGUUGUAAAGCACUUUAAGCAGUGAAGAAGACCUAUUGGUUAAUACCCAAUAGCGAUGACAUUAACUGCAGAAUAAGCACCGGCUAACUCUGUGCCAGCAGCCGCGGUAAUACAGAGGGUGCAAGCGUUAAUCGGAAUUACUGGGCGUAAAGCGAACGUAGGUGGUUAAAUAAGUCAGAUGUGAAAUCCCCGAGCUUAACUUGGGAACUGCAUCUGAAACUGUAUAACUAGAGUAGGUGAGAGGAAAGUAGAAUUCCAGGUGUAGCGGUGAAAUGCGUAGAGAUCUGGAGGAAUACCGAUGGCGAAGGCAGCUUUCUGGCAUCAUACUGACACUGAGGUUCGAAAGCGUGGGUAGCAAACAGG